UACGAAGGGGGCUAGCGUUGUUCGGAUUUACUGGGCGUAAAGCGCACGUAGGCGGAUCGUUAAGUCGAGGGUGAAAUCCUGGAGCUCAACUCCAGAACUGCCUUCGAUACUGGCGAUCUAGAGUCCGGAAGAGGUGAGUGGAACUCCUAGUGUAGAGGUGGAAUUCGUAGAUAUUAGGAAGAACACCAGUGGCGAAGGCGACUCACUGGUCCGGUACUGACGCUGAGGUGCGAAAGCGUGGGGGAGCAAACAGG
rnacentral:rRNA from 1 species